rnacentral:lncRNA from 1 species
CCCCACGCGAUCUCCUCUCCUCUCCUCUUUUUUUCCUUCCCAGGAACCGAGCCGAAGCUCCCUCUCCUUCUCUCGUGAUUUCUUUCCCCAGUUCUCUCUCCUCCUUCCUUCUUUCUUCUUCCUCCCCUUCCUUCUCUGUUUCUCCCAGACCGAGCUCUCCCUUCUCUCCCGCGAAUCUCUCCUUUCCUCUCUGCCUCGCCUCUCUUUUCCUUCUCUACAGAGACCGACCCCUCUCCCUCGCGAUUCCCUUCCCAGUGCC